AGAACCAAAUUAAAUUUUCUGAAACUAAACAACAUUUAGUUUCUUGAUAUUUUCCGCUACACUCCCUGUUUAGUUAAGUAAAAAUGCCACUGAAAAUGAGGAAAAAACAUACCAGCCAAUGUCCGAAUUAUUGCAGAAAAAGCAAGCAUUAACUAAUGGCCACAGAAAAUAGAGUAAAAAAUUCAGAUUAAUCCCUCUUACUAUUUUCUGAGUUACUUGGAAAGAAAUGAACAAUAAAACUUUUAAAGAAAUUUCCUAUAACUAGACUACCCCUAAAAAUUCAGAAAGAAAUGAACUUGCUGAGUAAGCAGGACAUAGACAUGGAAAAUACAGACGGCAUAAUAUUCCAAGAAAUCAUUUGUUCUCUAAUUUUAGUCCUACCUAAGUACCUAUUUCUUGCUUGCAUAGAAUUGAUGAGCAUCUUCGGGAGUCGUGGUCCAUUGUUAUUCCGCAGUUCCUGUGCUUUUUUUUUUUCUCCUUUUUAAUAAUAUUAUUCUUUUAGGUGGACAUAAGGGUUGCACCUGGAACUCAUGCAACUGAAGCUGCAGUUAAUAAGCAACUCAAUGAUAAAGAACGUGUGGCAGCAGCUUUGGAGAACCCAAACCUUGUGGACAUGGUUGAUGAAUGCCUGGCUCCAUCAUACGGUUGAACAUCCUUCAAGUCAGAACUUCUGGUUCACACUAUACAUUUUUUAUUUCCACAAUUUAGGGCGUAUUUAGUUGAUCUUAAGAUAAAAGCAUAACUUUGGAAAGAACACAGGGUAUUAUUAUUUUUUCUCACUAGGAUUUAAUCUGCUUUUUCUCAUUAGGGUUUUUGUUAGGCUCUGUAUAAUUAAUUCCUUGCUCUCUCGCAUCUCUAUGUGAGGGCAUACCGACUUAAAUCUGAAUAGUUUUUAUUUUUAAAAUUAAAAAAAAAAAGUUUAAAAUAAGGUUGAAUUGUGUUUGAAAAGCAGUGAGAUUUUGUGAUUUUUAUUUAGGGAAGAAGGACAGUUUAGUGGUUAAGAAAAGUCAUAAAUGUAGACAAAGGUUCCA